GCGCCCAUAGCUCAGUUGGUAGAGCAGCUCCCUUUUAAGGAGAUGGUCGGGGGUCCGAAUCCCUCUGGGCGCACCA
rnacentral:tRNA from 1 species